CACGUAGGGUGCGAGCGUUGUCCGGAAUUAUUGGGCGUAAAGAGCUCGUAGGCGGUGUGUCGCGUCGGCCGUGAAAACCUGUAGCUUAACUGUGGGCUUGCGGUCGAUACGGGCAUCACUGGAGUUCGGCAGGGGAGACUGGAAUUCCUGGUGUAGCGGUGAAAUGCGCAGAUAUCAGGAGGAACUCCGGUGGCGAAGGCGGGUCUCUGGGCCGAUACUGACGCUGAGGAGCGAAAGCGUGGGGAGCGAACAGG
rnacentral:rRNA from 1 species